CCUACGGGAGGCUGCAGUGGGGAAUAUUGCACAAUGGGCGCAAGCCUGAUGCAGCCAUGCCGCGUGUGUGAAGAAGGCCUUCGGGUUGUAAAGCACUUUCAGCGGGGAGGAAGGCGGUGAGGUUAAUAACCUCAUCGAUUGACGUUACCCGCAGAAGAAGCACCGGCUAACUCCGUGCCAGCAGCCGCGGUAAUACGGAGGGUGCAAGCGUUAAUCGGAAUUACUGGGCGUAAAGCGCACGCAGGCGGUCUGUCAAGUCGGAUGUGAAAUCCCCGGGCUCAACCUGGGAACUGCAUUCGAAACUGGCAGGCUAGAGUCUUGUAGAGGGGGGUAGAAUUCCAGGUGUAGCGGUGAAAUGCGUAGAGAUGUGGAGGAACACCAGUGGCGAAGGCGGCUCUCUGGCCUGUAACUGACGCUGAGGCGCGAAAGCGUGGGGAGCGAACAGGAUUAGAUACCCGUGUAGUC
rnacentral:rRNA from 1 species